rnacentral:rRNA from 1 species
AGAGUGGACGCUGGCGGUAGGCCUAACACAUGCAAGUCGAACGGCAGCACAGUAGGAGCUUGCUCUUACGGGUGGCGAGUGGCGGACGGGUGAGGAAUACAUCGGAAUCUACCUUUUGGUGGGGGAUAACGUAGGGAAACUUACGCUAAUACCGCAUACGCCCGUUCGGGGGAAAGCCGGGGACCAGCAAUGGCCUGGCGCUGAUAGAUGAGCCGAUGUACGGAUUAGCUAGUUGGUGAGGUAAUGGCUACACCAAGGCGACGAUCCGUAGCGUGGUCUGAGAGGAUGAUCAGCCACGACUAGGAACUGAGACC